GCCAGGCAUGGUGGCGCAUGCCUGUAAUCCUAGCUACUCAGGAGGCUGAGGCAGGGGAAUCACUUGAACCUAGGAGGUGUAGGUUGCAGUGAGCCAAGAUUGCACCACUGCACUCCAGCCUGGGUGACAGAGCAAGACUCUGUCUCAA
rfam:Pan troglodytes isolate Yerkes chimp pedigree #C0471 (Clint) chromosome 2B, whole genome shotgun sequence.